ensembl:rRNA 5S_rRNA 5S ribosomal RNA
CACCACAGCCAUAUUACCCUGCAGCCCAAGACCGGUUACUUACUGUAGCUAAGCUGGGCUGAGCCUGGUCAAUACCUGGAUGACAAAACACAUGGGAAAACUAGGUUGCUGUUGGAA